GACGAACGCUGGCGGCGUGCCUAAUACAUGCAAGUAGAACGCUGAAGAGAGGAGCUUGCUCUUCUUGGAUGAGUUGCGAAUGGGUGAGUAACGCGUAGGUAACCUGCCUUGUAGCGGGGGAUAACUAUUGGAAACGAUAGCUAAUACCGCAUAACAAUGGAUGACACAUGUCAUUUACUUGAAAGGGGCAAUUGCUCCACUACAAGAUGGACCUGCGUUGUAUUAGCUAGUAGGUGAGGUAAUGGCUCACCUAGGCGACGAUACAUAGCCGACCUGAGAGGGUGAUCGGCCACACUGGGACUGAGACACGGCCCAGACUCCUACGGGAGGCAGCAGUAGGGAAUCUUCGGCAAUGGGGCAACCCUGACCGAGCAACGCCGCGUGAGUGAAGAAGGUUUUCGGAUCGUAAAGCUCUGUUGUAAGUCAAGAACGGGUGUGAGAGUGGAAAGUUCACACUGUGACGGUAGCUUACCAGAAAGGGACGGCUAACUACGUG
rnacentral:rRNA from 1 species